AGGGGUGGCAUCGCCUUUCCUCUCCUGCUCAAUAGCUGAAAACAGAAAGAGAUGAAAUAUAAAUGCUUUUGAAGAAUAAAUGCCUUUAUUGUGCCAGUAAAGCUUCUUAAGAGACAGAGAGAGAGAGUGCGCGAGAGAGAGAUGUGUUUGAUGGAUGAGGGAUGGCAUUAUUGCAAACAUGCUAAUUCACAUGGGGAAUUCUGCAAGCAGGCUUAGGUGUGCACUGCAAUGCUGAUAGAGGACUUUGAGCUGACACCCAUCUGCUGACAUAAGAGGCUGAAAAAAGACUUGGGUAGACUGAGAAGAAAGAAAUGGCUGAAACAAAACAAUAAAUAAAGAGAGAAGGUAGACAGAUCACUGCAGAGAAGAGAAGGGCAGAUGGGGGAGAAAAGAGAGAGA